GAACCGAUUCUGGAACAGCUUCUCCCGCCCCCGGGCCAGAGAGGGUUCCCCAGCCCCUGGAAAGCCAGGACACCCCCUAGGCUGUCCCAGCACGCCUCAGCCUCAGGUCCUGAGCCAACAUCUCUCUGCGCUGCCUGUGAAUCCAGACUGUGACUCCAGACUGAGGGCCAAACCGAGACCACUCCCUCCACCGUCAGUUGGCCAUAAUUGUCAGGGUGACCUCCCCGACCGACCGUCUCCACCGACCGUCUCCUCCAGACAGCAGCCCACAGAACAGCCACCGACCAAACUGCCUUGCCCAUGAGACAGGAGCAAAACCAGCUUAGAAAACUUUCCCACUGUUGGAGUAAAACCCAGAAUUCUCCCAGAAAGGAGAAGCAUAAGGAACUUUGAAUUUAUCUUUUAUACUUUAAAAGCAGCAGAACUUGAGACAUUCAUUCCUCGGAGCUUUGUUGAAGAAUUGAGGAAGGGGUGCUUAAUAAUCCCAUUCAAGAAUAGUUCCUCUGGAAGGGAGAGAAAACUCAGAAAUCCCUGAGUACUGUGAUACUCCAAAAUGGGAAGGCCUGGAAAAACCUAGGUCAUUAAAAACUGAAGCUUAAAUUUCUACAUUGCUUAAUUUUGUCUCAACUGCACAAGCCAACAGAGUGUGAGAAAUCUCUCUGCGUGCCAGCCUCCCUUUUCGUCACACAACUCUGGAAACAGUUAUAGGAAGAUUGCAGCAACAAAUUGUAAACAAAACCAGGUCAAGAAACAGAGGAGAGGGCCAGGCAGGGUGGCUCAGGCCUAUAAUCCCAGCACUUUGGGCAGCUGAGGCAGGUGGAUCACCUGAAGUCAGGAGUUCAAGACCAGCCUGGGCAACAUGGCGAAACCUCCUCUCUAAUUAAAAAAUAAAAAAUAAAAAUAAAAAUUAGCCAGGCUUGGUGGCGGGCGCCUGUAAUCCCAGCUACUCGGGAGGGUGAGGCAGGAGGAUCGCUUGAAACCAGGAGGCGGAGGUUGCAGUGAGUCAAGAUCGCGCCACUGCACACUCCAGCCUGGGCGACAGAGCGAGACUCUGUCUCAAAAAAAAAGAAGAAAGAAACAGGAGUGAAAAGUUGAGAUGACCAUGUGAAGCCAGCCAACCUGAACAAAAUGUAACUUUUGAAUGAUAAGGCACAGCUGAGCGGCCCAGACUUUGAAUUUUCUCCAAAUAUCAUGAUCUUCCAUCCUGGCUGAAUUUAAAUGGUGUCUUUUGUAUUUGGGGGAAAGCAGAGGGGAUAUUAUUUGCUGGAAUUAAAAGCAAGCCAUUUGGGUGAGCACAUAGUCUGUUGCAGAUGGUGGAGGCAUAAAGAGGGAUUUCAUGUAAAUGAAUGGCA
rnacentral:lncRNA from 1 species